rnacentral:rRNA from 1 species
GUGCACGCUGGCGGCAGGCCUCACCCAUGCCAGUCGCACGGCAGCACCAGAGAGCUUGCUCUCUGGGUGGCGAGUGGCGGACGGGUGAGGAAUGCAUCGGAAUCUGCCCAUUUGUGGGGGAUAACCUCGGGAAACCGGGACUAAUACCGCAUACGACCUACGGGUGAAAGCAGGGGAUCUUCGGACCUUGCGCAGAUGGAUGAGCCGAUGCCGGAUUAGCUAGUUGGAGGGGUAAAGGCCCACCAAGGCGACGAUCCGUAGCUGGUCUGAGAGGAUGAUCAGCCACACUGGGACUGAGACACGGCCCAGACUCCUACGGGAGGCAGCAGUGGGGAAUAUUGGACAAUGGGCGCAAGCCUGAUCCAGCCAUGCCGCGUGUGUGAAGAAGGCCUUCGGGUUGUAAAGCACUUUUGUUGGGAAAGAAAAGCAGCCGGUUAAUACCCGGUUGUCAUGACGGUACCCAAAGAAUAAGCACCGGCUAACUUCGUG